GGAGAGGUGGCAGAGUGGUUGAAUGCGGCAGUCUCGAAAACUGUUAUGGUGAAAGCUAUCGAGGGUUCAAAUCCCUCCCUCUCCG
rnacentral:tRNA from 1 species